UGGGGAAUAUUGCACAAUGGGCGCAAGCCUGAUGCAGCCAUGCCGCGUGUAUGAAGAAGGCCUUCGGGUUGUAAAGUACUUUCAGCGAGGAGGAAGGCGGUAAGGUUAAUAACCUUAUCGAUUGACGUUACUCGCAGAAGAAGCACCGGCUAACUCCGUGCCAGCAGACGCGGUAAUACGGAGGGUGCAAGCGUUAAUCGGAAUUACUGGGCGUAAAGCGCACGCUGGCGGUCUGUCAAGUCGGAUGUGAAAUCCCCGGGCUCAACCUGGGAACUGCAUUCGAAACUGGCAGGCUAGAGUCUUGUAGAGGGGGGUAGAAUUCCAGGUGUAGCGGUGAAAUGCGUAGAGAUCUGGAGGAAUACCGGUGGCGAAGGCGGCCCCCUGGACAAAGACUGACGCUCAGGUGCGAAAGCGUGGGGAGCAAACA
rnacentral:rRNA from 1 species